rnacentral:misc_RNA from 1 species
AACGAGGCCGACCUGCGGCUGAGUUACCUGCGGAAGGAUCAUUAUUGAAUUUAAUGUGGAGUUGGUUGUAGCUGGCUUGACUGAUUUUUUAAAAAAAGAUUUCAGGCAUGUGCACACCUUCUCUUUCAUCCAUACACCCCUGUGCACUUGUGAGACAGAUUUUGGGGGAAGGGUAACUUCAUUGAGACCCCUCUCCCUGUCUGUCUACUUAAUUCACACAAACUCAAUUUAUUUUAAAAU